AGCGGCCGGUCUAAGUUCCUUGGAACAGGACGUCAUAGAGGGUGAGAAUCCCGUAUGUGACCGGCUGGCACCCUCCACGUAGCUCCUUCGACGAGUCGAGUUGUUUGGGAAUGCAGCUCUAAAUGGGAGGUAAAUUUCUUCUAAAGCUAAAUACCGGCCAGAGACCGAUAGCGCACAAGUAGAGUGAUCGAAAGAUGAAAAGCACUUUGGAAAGAGAGUUAAAAAGCACGUGAAAUUGUUGAAAGGGAAGCGCUUGCAACCAGACUUGUCGGCGGUGUUCCGCCGGUCUUCUGACCGGUCUACUCGCCGUCGACAGGCCAGCAUCAUCUGGGCCCGCCGGAUAAAGGCUUUGGGAAUGUAGCUCCCCUCGGGGAGUGUUAUAGCCCUUUGCACAAUACGGCGUGGCCCGGGUGAGGUCCGCGUUUCGGCAAGGAUGCUGGCGUAAUGGUUGUAAGCGGCCCGUCUUGAAACACGGACCAAGGAGUCGAUUAUCUAUGCGAGUGUUCGGGCGUCAAACCCCUACGCGUAAUGAAAGUGAACGGAGGUGGGAACCUUAGGGUGCACCAUCGACCGAUCCGGAUGUCUUCGGAUGGAUUUGAGUAAGAGCAUAGCUAAUCGGACCCGAAAGAUGGUGAACUAUGCCUGAAUAGGGUGAAGCCAGAGGAAACUCUGGUG
rnacentral:rRNA from 2 species